AGAGUUUGAUCAUGGCUCAGGAUGAACGCUAGCUACAGGCUUAACACAUGCAAGUCGAGGGGAAACGACAUCGAAAGCUUGCUUUUGAUGGGCGUCGACCGGCGCACGGGUGAGUAACGCGUAUCCAACCUGCCCACCACUUGGGGAUAACCUUGCGAAAGUAAGACUAAUACCCAAUGACGUCUCUAGAAGACAUCUGAAAGAGAUUAAAGAUUUAUCGGUGAUGGAUGGGGAUGCGUCUGAUUAGCUUGGUUGGCGGGGUAACGGCCCACCAAGGCGACGAUCGAGUAGGGGUUCUGAGAGGAAGGUCCCCCAGAUUGGAACUGAGACACGGUCCAAACUCCGUACGGAGGCA
rnacentral:rRNA from 1 species